GCCUAGCCGUAAAUAAUCAACUUACACUGACCAACGCCAGGGGACUACGAGCAAUGCUUAAAACCCAAAGGACUUGACGGUGUCCCACCCAACUAGAGGAGCCUGUUCUAGAAUCGAUGAUCCCCGCUAUACCUGACCACUCCUAGCUUUUUCAGCCUGUAUACCUCCGUCGAAAGUUUACCAUGUGAAUGUUAUCAGUAGGCCCAAUGAUUCCCCAUCAGUAUGUCAGGUCAAGGUGCAGCCCAAGGAGCGGAGAGAAAUGGGCUACAAUUUCUAAAAUAGAACACACGGAAGUCUGUGUGAAAUCACAGGCACGAAGGUGGAUUUAGCAGUAAAAAGAAAAUAGAGAGUUCUUUUUAACCUGGCUCUGGGACGUGUACACACCGCCCGUCGCCCUCUUCGAUAAACCUAACCACAGUCUCUAACCCGUCUGAAUUCCCUUAGAAGAGGUAAGUCGUAACAUGGUAAGUAUACUGGAAAGUGUACUUAGAUCACUA
rnacentral:rRNA from 1 species